CCUACGGGAGUCAGCAGUGGGGACUAUUGGACAAUGGGGGAAACCCUGAUCCCGCGACGCCGCGUGAGUGAAGCAGUAUUUCGGUACGUAAAGCUCUAUCAGCAGGAAAGAAAAUGACGGUACCUGACUAAGAAGCCCCGGCUAAAUACGUGCCAGCAGCCGCGUUAAUACGUAGGGGGCAGGCGUUAUCCGGAUUUACUGGGUGUAAAGGGAGCGUAGACGGCAGCGCAAGUCUGGAGUGAAAUGCCGGGGCCCAACCCCGGAACUGCUCUGGAAACUGUGAAGCUGGAGUGCAGGAGAGGUAAGCGGAAUUCCUGGGGUAGCGGUGAAAGGCGUAGAUAGCAGGAAGAACACCGGCGGCGAAGGCGACUUACUGGACUGUAACUGACGUUGAGGCUCGAAGGCGUGGGGAGCAAACAGGAUUAGAUACCCUUGUAGUC
rnacentral:rRNA from 1 species